rnacentral:rRNA from 1 species
AAACAUAGCCUUUAGCACACCAAGUAUUAAAGGUAACGCCUGCCCAGUGAAAUUUCAACGGCCGCGGUAUCCUAACCGUGCAAAGGUAGCGUAAUCACUUGUCUUAUAAAUAAAGACCUGUAUGAACGGCUAAAUGAGUAUUUAACUGUCUCCUUUAACUAAUCAGUGAAACUGAUCUCUCAGUCCAAAAGCUGAGAUAAAAACAUAAGACGAGAAGACCCUGUGGAGCUUUAAACNUUUUAACAAUUCAUCUUCUCAAAAGACGUUUAUGCUAAAAANUUUUUAAGNUUGGGGCGACUUUUGGAGUAAAACAAAACCUCCAAGAAUUAGGUGCCACCUAAACAUCAGGCCCACAAGCCAAACAAAUAAGACCCAGUAUUACUGAUUGACGAACCAAGUUACCCCAGGGAUAACAGCGCCAUCUUCUUCAAGAGUUCAUAUCGACAAGAAGGCUUACGACCUCGAUGUUGGAUCAGGACACCCCAAUGGUGUAACCGCUAUUAAAGGUUCGUUUUGUUCAACGAUUAAUAGUCCUACGUG